UCAGUGAGAUCUAAUAAAAUUUAUAGAUAUUGAAAUAUAAAAUUUUGGGUUUUACGUUUAAGAUGGUUGUGUUGAUUAUUUGGGCCAUGAGGACUGUCUGAGAUUCUGACCACCUGAUUUGAAUUUCUGUUAAUUGAACAAUGGGAUGAAAAUGGUCAAACAAAUGGCCCAGAAGUCCUUGUAAUUGCCCAGAAUCCAACAAUUCAUGUUUUCAUAAAACCAUACACAUUCAUACACUUAGGCACAGACAUUCGGCAUGAUACCUUGAGAGGGCUGUGUGGUCACACGUGGCCUUUCUUCUCUCCUCUGCCACUGACAAUUGACUGUGGGCAACUUUCUUCAUCUCUUGGAACAUGAGUUUUCCUAUUUGCAAAAUAGGAAAAUAUCUCCCGUGCAGGGGAUUUGCUAACAUUCAACGAAACAACAUAUUUAAAGAGCCUGAUACACAUUUCGUUACACAGGGCCUAGGCCGAUGACCUUGGCAGUGACGAUGAUGAAUGGAGCAAGGAUCCCAAGUGACAUAAAUUCCUGCGGACUUCACAAUCCCAAGCAUGGGGCUAGACAUGAACAGAAUGGUAUGGAAGAGACCAGCUUUUGCUGUUGGAGGGACUGGUUUUUACACAGGACUCGAGCUUCAGACAGACGUGGGUAUCAAUGUCCCCCAAGGCUCAUUCCCUCCUCUAGCUACUGGAUACCAGAAGACCCUCAGGACAGAGGUCCCCUCUACCAUGCACCUGCUGACCCAACAUGCACUUGCAACACCGUGCUCCUGCAGAGCCAAGCAUACAAAUGGAGGCAUCUGGUAGCCUCUGCCUGGGAUGAUUUAAGUUCAGUGGAGAGGCUCCCUUGCAGAAUUCUCUCCCGGCCCACCUGAGCCCAGCUACCUGAGACUCCACCACUAGCGAAUCAUGGCUCUGCAUUAAGCACUGCCUUCUGGAAAACAUCUUCAGAGAGGAACAGGCGUGCACGGACGUGACGCAUGAAUACAAACAAUGGCCCUUAAAUGUUGUUCACCUUCAGAAAGCCGUUGGUGUGUUCGCCCCGUGAUUUGCGAUUUGAGAGUUGGGUUUCGGUCCCUAUAGAUGAUUGUUCAUCACCAUUUCAGCAGCCAGAAGGCUGUGACUCUGAGCCAAUUCAUUUUAGGAGGCGCUGGGCCCCUGUGACAGUGAUACCUCUACUCUAAUCAACGGCAGGAGUCUCAAAGAAGGGGAGAGCUGCGCUCCGUGCUGACUGAGCUCAAGAGAUCUAGACACCAUCCGCCUUUUUACUUAACCACCUGGCAUUGCUGGUGUCAGGUGGGGCCGUUUUCAAAAAUGCCACCAGAAGACUAGAAUCUUAAUAGACUCCGAUUUCAAUAUCAUCUCUAAAGUUUUGCUGUGUGUCAUCUCUCCACUAAAUUAAAUAUUCUGGGACUCACUGGAGACUUUGCAGAUAGAAAUGCGAGUUUAAUAAAAAGCAUGGGGGACAUGUGAACGUCUGGGCUCUGGCCUGAGACUUCACACUGAGACUUCAACCCAAACCCAGCAUCAUAAAGAGGGCCAGCCAGGGUCACCCCACCAAACAUGGACAUUUGUCAAUGGACUCCAGCUGCCAAGAUUUCUGGAAGAAUUACAGUCACUUCCACAACCCAGUUCCUCAUGAAAAGACGGCAUCUCUCUAGUAAGUGAGACGAAAAACAAGUCUCCGGGAGACUUUAAAUGUAAGCAACGGUCACGGAGUGCAAGACAAGGAGGGAGGGAUCCAGGUAGAGUGGUUCUUGGAGAAGUCGUUUAUGACAUGCAUUGUUUGAAAAUGCAGUGAAGUCUGCAAUCAUGUGGCCUGAGAAACGAAACCUCUUUAAAACCCAAAACAAAGCCAUUCAGCCCCUAGUCUCAACUCUCUAUCCCGAGGACCAUCCGCAGAAAUCCUUGCUGGCUAAUCGGCCUGCUUGAACGCUAUAAACCACUGUUUUCAAACACCCUUUGCCGUGCUCCAAACUGCUCUAUAAAUCUCACUGCCCCUUUCCCCGGGGUCCAGUGGAGAGAAAAAGCACCACAGUUGGCCUUUCUAGGUCCAGUCUAAACUGAGGCCCAAUCAGAGGCUCCAGGAGACACCUCAGAGCUGAAACAGCGGAUUCCAGCUCCCUCCCUGGUAAGUCUGCAUGGCUGGGACGUUUGGGCUUUGCUGUCAAACACGGAUGAAGCCGAAGGGCAGGCAAGAGGAGAGAUUCGCCGCCGGGAAGCUUCUGCAUGAGCGGUCCGUCAGCCUCUGCCCAGCCAGUUGGGCAGGCUUUCCUAGUCUGAUGCGCGGGGGGGGGGAUGGACAGCAGCCCCCCGAAGCUGAUGUGCUCCGUGGUCUUGCCACCCCGUGCUUCUGCUAAUGGGAGCCUGUGUAACUCUUGAACUGAAAAGGCCUCAUCUAGCCUUGUGUUUCAAGAGCCACACCUGAAAACUCUUAGAGGUAACGAAAACUUGCAUUCUUCAAGGCUAUUCUGAAAGAGAUGAUUUAACUCAUGCUCCCUCUAAGACUGCACAGAAUUGUUCAGCUCUCUGCACCAGAUGCCUCAAAAAUCCAAACUGGAGCUAAUUUAGACACUUUACUUAAGCUGAUUAUGGUGAUGUAAUGGCCUGAUAUUUUCCCUUAUAA